AUGUCGGGAUCCGCCACCUCGGGCCCCUCCACGGCCAGCUAUCUGCCGGCCUCCCUGGCGGCCCUCCUCUCCCGGCCCCUCGACUCCGCCGCGGCUGCUUCACUCCCGAUCGGGACGAGGAGCGUCGGCUCCUUCUUCUCCUCGUCGCCGGGAACCACGCUGGUGGUCCGCACUUCCAGCGCCACGACGGGCGACUCCCUGCCCGCCUUCGCCAGCGCCAACGCUGUUGCCCCGAUGGAGGCCUCUACCUCGGCCCUGAUGGCCGGUCUCGCCGCGUCGGGCGCGGCUCCUGCGCCAUCAAUCUCCGCGGCUGUGCCUGUCGCCACUGCCCCUAUGGCGCCUUUGCCUCCGGCAGUCUCCACGGGUUCUCUACCGCCGCCGCCGUUUCACUUCGUAAACCUUAUCACCAUCAAGUUGUCGGCGGACAACUACAUCUUCUGGCGUGCGCAGGUCCUCCCGCUUCUUGGGAGUCAUUACCUGCUUGGCUACGUCGACGGUUCUCUCCCCUGUCCUCCUGCGCUUAUUGACAGCGUGCACGGCCCGGUCUACAAUCCGGCGCACCGUGUUUGGAUGGGGCAGGACCAAGCGAAUCUCUCCUCCAUCCAGGGGUCGCUCACUCCGGCCGUUGCCGGUCUUGUUGUCUUCGCCAAGACGUCUCAUGAGGCUUGGACCAUCCUUGAGCGCUCCUUUGCAGCACAGUCGCAGGCUCGUGUCUCCUCGCUCCAUCGUCAACUUGGGGAGUGUCAGAAACUUGACUCCACUGCCACCGAGUUCUACAACAAGGUCAAGGGCCUCGCCGACACGCUGGCUUCUAUUGGACAGCCCCUUACUGACUCCGAGUUCAACUCGUUUAUUGUCAAUGGUCUUGAUGAGGAGUAUGAUGCCUUAGUCGAGAUCAUUAACGAGCGGGGCAACUCCACACCCAUGAUGGUGCACGAGGUCUUUUCCCGUCUCCUUCUCACUGAGCAACGGGUUGAGACGCGUCGCUCCAGGAGCAGCGGCUCCCUCUCGGCCAACACCGCCACGAAGGGUGGCCGCGCAUCUUCAUCAUCUCGGGCCCCUUCGGGGCUGCCACCACCGCCCACUUCGGCCCCCCCUCCUACUGCAACAUUACCGGGGGCUAGCGGUCCUCGUGUGUGUCAGCUUUGUGGUCGUGAUGGACACUGGGCCUCUAAGUGUCACAAGCGCUUUCAGAAGAGUUUUCUGGGCCUCGGCAAUGAUGGCAAGGACACGCAACUUUGCGCGCCAAGUGGCCAUGGCAUAAAAACCGACGGCCACAAAGCAGCAAGGGCACACUCAGUCCUACUCUGUUGA
rnacentral:rRNA from 1 species